GAUCUACAAAAAGAAGUGGACUUUUACCAGAUUCGUAUAUCAAUCCUACGCCAAUACAGACACAAGGCGUGGAAUAUUUGGUUAAAAUAUGCCUUAUGCAAGUACUAGGUACCCUCAUCUACAUAUCCGCUACUGGUACAAAAAUCUCGAGUUUUAACAUCUUUUAUGGUAGAUUAGUAUACACCCUGACAAAGUUCGAACAUUGUACACCCAUAGUUAUUCACAUGUUGCUCAAUGUUCAUAAAGUUUGGUAAUCACUUACCAUUUAUUGCUUAAGAAAUCUUAACUUUCUAUUUAUUAAGCAUGAAUAUAUCUAAACAAAGUCGCUGUGUACUUAUAUAUACCAAAACCACUCACUACUUUUUAUUCUACACUAUGUACAAACAAUGCUAUUUAUUUAUGCAUAAUUGAAUAUCCAUUCAGAUAAAAUAUUUAUAGGGUUGAUUACCGCCUUGUUGAGCCACCCUAUCGAUGAUAACUUACUACCUAGGUUGAAAGUGUUGCUGUUGUGCGGGCCCCACGGUCGUGUGUCCGCUAAAAUGGUAUAUAUACUUGCACACAAAAAUGAGUAAAAGAAAUGGAGUUCUGUUGGUUGGACUUAUGAGUUCUUAUUUAGAUUCUCAUGCUAUAAAAAGAGAUGCCACUGCCCUUUAUCAUUAUAUUUUAAAUUAACAUAAAUAUAUGAUGUGCAUGAUGAACAGGAGCAACAGAAAGUGUCUCAACUCACAACUCAGUACGUGACAGGAAGACAAUUGUCCAAGGGGCCUAUUUGCCUCAAAGAACCGUUUCAAGACGGUGCGCACCAUGCAAAGGUUGUGCACAAAAUACUUGUUGCUACGAGUUCAUUUGCAAUGAUCCUACAAAUCCAGGUCUCACUUGCGUUGGUACUAUGCUCUAUUGUGGCUGUAGUAUUGAAACUUGUAAUAGUAAUUUUUUAUUUUUUUGCUUAUGAAAAUAAAUGGGAAUAAAGCAUGGAAGUUUGUGAUACAAAUGUGUUUUAGUGGAGUUUCAAGGAUGACUAAAAGAAGUAGAUGCCCUUACCUUGUUACGUUAAGUUCCACUGAUGAUUAAACUUGCAAGCUUGAUGAUACAAAUACUAUUUUUAUAUAAAUUACACAAAAGCAAAAAA
rnacentral:lncRNA from 1 species